GGGUUAGUAGGUUGGUCAUGCCUCAGGUAUGUACUGGUCUCACUGAUUCCUCCUUCCUGAUGAGCCGUAAUGCCAUUAAUUUGGUGUUGCGGGGAAUCUGGACUGUUACUUUGAAAAAAUUAGAGUGUUUAAAGCAGGCAAGCGCUUGAAUACAUUAGCAUGGAAUAAUAGAAUAGGACU
rnacentral:rRNA from 1 species